rnacentral:rRNA from 1 species
UACGUAGGGUGCAAGCGUGAAUCGGAAUUACUGGGCGUAAAGCGUGCGCAGGCGGUUAUGUAAGACAGUUGGGAAAUCCCCGGGCUCAACCUGGGAACUGCAUCUGUGACUGCAUAGCUAGAGUACGGUAGAGGGGGAUGGAAUUCCGCGUGUAGCAGUGAAAUGCGUAGAUAUGCGGAGGAACACCGAUGGCGAAGGCAAUCCCCUGGACCUGUACUGACGCUCAUGCACGAAAGCGUGGGGAGCAAACAGG